UACGUAGGGCGCAAGCGUUGUCCGGAAUUAUUGGGCGUAAAGAGCUCGUAGGCGGUUUUGUUGCGUCGGCCGUGAAAACCUGCAGCUUAACUGUGGGCCUGCGGCCGAUACGGGCAGACUUGAGUUCGGUAGGGGAGACUGGAAUUCCUGGUGUAGCGGUGAAAUGCGCAGAUAUCAGGAGGAACACCGGUGGCGAAGGCGGGUCUCUGGGCCGAUACUGACGCUGAGGAGCGAAAGCGUGGGGAGCGAACAGG
rnacentral:rRNA from 1 species